UACGAAGGGGGCUAGCGUUGUUCGGAAUUACUGGGCGUAAAGGGCGUGUAGGUGGUUUCGUAAGUCUGGCGUGAAAUAUCUCGGCUUAACCGAGGCAGGUCGUCGGAUACUGCGGAACUAGAGGACGGUAGAGGCGUGUGGAAUUCCGGGUGUAGUGGUGAAAUGCGUAGAGAUCCGGAGGAACACCAGUGGCGAAGGCGACACGCUGGGCCGUACCUGACACUGAUGCGCGACAGCAUGGGGAGCAAACAGG
rnacentral:rRNA from 1 species